rnacentral:rRNA from 1 species
ACCGCAUAUACUCUUGCUACACAAGUAGAGUAGAGGAAAGGAGCAAUCCGCUUUACGAUGAGCCUGCGGCCUAUUAGCCUGUUGGUGGGGUAACGGCCUACCAAAGCUACGAUAGGUAGCCGACCUGAGAGGGUGACCGGCCACAUUGGGACUGAGAUACGGCCCAGACUCCUACAGGAGGCAGCAGCUGAGAAUCUUCCACAAUGGACGAAAGUCUGAUGGAGCGACAUCGCGUGAGGGAUGAAGGCCUUCGGGUUGUAAACCUCGGAAAUUAUCGAAGAAUGAGUGACAGUAGAUAAUGUAAGCCUCGGCUAACUACGUGCCAGCAGCCGCGGUAAUACGUAGGAGGCAAACGUUGCUCGGAUUUACUGGGCGUAAAGGGUGAGUAGGCGGACUUAUAAGUCUAAGGUGAAAGACCGAAGCUCAACUUCGGGAACGCCUCGGAUACUGUGAGUCUUGGAUAUUGUAGGGGAUGAUGGAAUUCUCGGUGUAGCGGUGGAAUGCGCAGAUAUCGAGAGGAACACCUAUAGCGAAGGCAGUCAUCUGGGCAUUUAUCGACGCUGAAUCACGAAAGCUAGGGGAGCAAACAGGCUUAGAUACCCUGGUAGUCCUAGCCGUAAACGUUGUACACUAGGUGCUUCUAUUUAAAUAGGAGUGCCGUAGCUAACGUCUUAAGUGUACCGCCUGAGGAGUAUGCCCGCAAGGGUGAAACUCAAAGAAAUUGACGGGUCCCCGCACAAGUGGUGGAGCAUGUGGUUUAAUUCGAUGAUACGCGAAAAACCUUACCUGGGUUUGAAUUGUAAGAUCAAUGAUUUAGAGAUAAGUCAGACCGCAAGGAGAUUUUACAUAGGUGCUGCAUGCCUGUCGUCAGCUCGUGUCGUGAGAUGUUGGGUUAAGUCCCGCAACGAGCGCAACCCUCACCCUUUGUUGCUACCGAGUAAUGUCGGGCACUCUUAGGGGACUGCCUACGUUCAAGUAGGAGGAAGGUGGGGAUGAUGUCAAGUCCUCAUGGCCCUUAUGUCCAGGGCUACACACGUGCUACAAUGGCAAGUACAAAGAGAAGCGAGACCGCGAGGUGGAGCAAAACUCAAAAAAGUUGCCUCAGUUCGGAUUGGAGUCUGAAACUCGACUCCAUGAAGUUGGAAUCACUAGUAAUCGUAGAUCAGAACGCUACGGUGAAUACGUUCCCGGGGAUUGUACACACCG